CCCAUACAAAGUUAUUUACCCAUUAUCUAAGAAAUGGGUUUGCCUUUCUAUUACCACUCUUACACCAGAAUGAUUGCAGAAUAAUUAAUGCAAUCCCCCUCCCAAAAAAGGGAGGAAAUAAGAAAGCACAACUAUAUAUAUUUGCAGCAGUACACAAGGUUAGCAAAUCACAGCUUGGUUUCAUUUUCACCUGUAUCAAAGAGCCCUUUGUGAAAAUCGAAAGAAAAGAUACUGUGAACAGCAAGUGACCCUGAUUUCCAACUCUUGACUGCAAGCCCUCCGUUUCCA